rnacentral:tmRNA from 1 species
GGGGCUGUCACGGUUUCGACAGCAGUUUUGGUGGGAAAGUAAGCAUGCCGGAGAAUGUUACCUGUACUCCGUAAAAACCGGUGCAAAUUUAUUUUAAACGGCGACGAUUAUUCGUAUGCAAUGGCCGCAUAAGUGGAAUACUUAUGUCCCAUUUGUCUCCCGGAAAGCUCUGUCUGGCGGCGCUCCGUACGAGGCACUGGAAAUGCCGGAACCGCAGUAAGGAAGCUUUGACUUUGCUGUUAAAUUAAGAAGCUAAGGAAGCAACAGGCCUGUUUUCUGCCAUGUUCUCUCCCUACAAUUUAAAGGAAACUAAGCAUGUAGAAAGCUCUCUUGUCGGCUGUUUGGACGAGGGUUCGACUCCCUCCAGCUCCACGC